rnacentral:sRNA from 1 species
GCCGGAGGUCGGACUCAGGAGGCUCCUUCUCCACUCCCGGAAGAUCAUGUACCAGCCCAGCCGGGGUGCGGCCCGGCGUCUCGGCCCUUGCCUGCGCGCCUACCAGGCUCGACCCCAGAGGUGAUUUGAAGGGCAGGGGCCGAGAGAUUCGUAGCCCUGCUGCGGCGCCGUCCCGGAGUUCCCCGGCCCAGACCAGACCCGCGGGGCGCCCUCAGCAGCCCGCCCGUCUUGCACUCGGAGAGCGGUCCUGGCAGGAAGGCCGGCCAGUGUGCACCCGGUUCGGGCCCCUGCGCCCGGGCUGGCAAGAUGGCCACGCCCCCAGCAGAGACGGCGCCUCUAGGACACCAUCGGGGACCGAGGACCAGCUUUAUCCAGGGACUCUACCAUUCCCACCCCUUUGGCCCCACUCCACGACAACCACUUCCCCAUCUUCUCCUCUAUUCUGGUCUCCCCUGCCCCCACGCCUUCCCACCCAGCGUCUUCCCCAGGUUCCCCCACUACCUCUCCCUCAGAUCCAGGCCCUCAGCUCAGCAUGGGUGGUUCUCCCUCCAGGAAAGGGGGAGGAGGGACCAGGACCUGAGUUGCAUAGCGGCUGCCUGGAUGGGCUUAGAAGCCUUUUUGAGGGACCUCCCUGCCCCUAUCCUGGGGCUUGGAUACCUUUCCAAGUCCCUGGAACUGCCCACCCUUCCCCUGCCACCCCGUCAGGAGAUCCUAG